rnacentral:rRNA from 1 species
UACGGAGGAUCCGAGCGUUAUCCGGAUUUAUUGGGUUUAAAGGGUGCGUAGGCGGCUUUUUAAGUCAGCGGUGAAAUUUUGCAGCUUAACUGUAACAGUGCCGUUGAUACUGGGGAGCUAGGAUUUGGUUGCUGUGGGUGGAAUGUGUGGUGUAGCGGUGAAAUGCUUAGAUAUCACACAGAAUAUCGAUUGCGAAGGCAGCUCACAAAGCCAAGAUUGACGCUGAGGCACGAAAGUGUGGGGAUCAAACAGGAUUAGA